rnacentral:rRNA from 1 species
AUUGAACGCUGGCGGCAUGCUUUACACAUGCAAGUCGAACGGUAACAGGUUAAGCUGACGAGUGGCGAACGGGUGGGUACUGCAUCGGAACGCGCCCGAUCGUGGGGGAUCGGGAAGCGAAAGCUGCGCUAAUUCCGUAUACGAACUGAGGAUUAAAGCGGGGGACCGUAUGGCCCCGCGCGAUCGGCUCCGCCGAUGUCAGAUUAGGUAGUUGGGGGGGUAAAAGCCCACCAAGCCAACGAUCUGUAGCUGGGCUGAGAGGACGACCAGCCGCACUGGGACUGAGACACGGCCCAGACUCCUACGAGAGGCAGCAGUGGGAAAUUUUGGACAAUGGGCGAAAGCCUGAUCCAGCAAUGCCGCGUGCAGGAAGAAGGCCUUCGGGUUGUAAACUGCUUUUGUACGGAGCGAAAAGGUUCUCUCUAAUACAGAGGGCUCAUGACGGUACCGUAAGAAUAAGCACCGGCUAACUACGUGCCAGCAGCCGCGGUAAUAC